rnacentral:rRNA from 1 species
AUUGAACGCUGGCGGCAGGCUUAACACAUGCAAGUCGAGCGGAGAUGAGGUGCUUGCACCUUAUCUUAGCGGCGGACGGGUGAGUAAUGCUUAGGAAUCUGCCUAUUAGUGGGGGACAACAUUCCGAAAGGAAUGCUAAUACCGCAUACGCCCUACGGGGGAAAGCAGGGGAUCUUCGGACCUUGCGCUAAUAGAUGAGCCUAAGUCGGAUUAGCUAGUUGGGGGGGUAAAGGCCUACCAAGGCGACGAUCUGUAGCGGGUCUGAGAGGAUGAUCCGCCACACUGGGACUGAGACACGGCCCAGACUCCUACGGGAGGCAGCAGUGGGGAAUAUUGGACAAUGGGCGGAAGCCUGAUCCAGCCAUGCCGCGUGUGUGAAGAAGGCCUUUUGGUUGUAAAGCACUUUAAGCGAGGAGGAGGCUACCUGGAUUAAUACUCUAGGAUAGUGGACGUUACUCGCGGAAUAAGCACCGGCUAACUCUGUGCCAGCAGCCGCGGUAAAAC